GGUAACUUAUUCUACUAAUCAAUAAUAAUGGAUCUAAGAAUCAUAAAUAAAUGUAUAAUAAAUAAUAAAAGUUAAAUAUAUAUCUUUUGUCGCCCCAACAAAAAAGUCUAAUCAACAGCAGUAAAAAUGAAACAAAACAGCCAUUAAAAUUGACCAUUAAAGCUCUAUAGGGUCUUCUCGUCUUCCAAAAGAAUUUGAGCCUUUUAACUCAAAAGCUAAAUUUUAACUUAUUUAAUUGAGACAGUUAGAGCCUCGUCAAGCCCUUCAUUCCAGCCCCCUAUUAAAAGACUAAUGAUUAUGCUACCUUUGCACGGUCAAAAUACCGCGGCCGUUAAAUAAUUAUCACCGGGCAGGCUUGACCUCAUAUAAUAAAACAAGAGGAC
rnacentral:rRNA from 1 species